rnacentral:ncRNA from 1 species
AAUGCUGCUGUAGUUACAAGUCUCCUAGUUGGAUCUUGGCCAUGGGCCAGUUCCCCACUGCAAGGCCAGGCCAGUCACUGCCAUCCUCGACCUUUGUCUAGGCUGACUCUUUGAUGCUUAGCUGAGUAUUUCAUGGGGCCCUCAAACAUUUACUUAAAAAAAAACUUAGACCACUCAAAGCAAGCCAGAAUUUUCUGGAUAAUGUAUCAGAGAAUCAUGGACUAGGACCAUGGUUCUGUCUCAGGUUUCUGGAACUGAGGCCAUGAGUAAGAGGGAGGUCAAGGGCCACUAGAGUGAAGUUCUUAGAUAAGCACAAGAUGGACCAGGGUCAGAGUGAAAGCUUUCAGUAAUCAAGAAUGAAAGUUGGGGUUUUGAAGGCAAUCAUUUAUGAUCAUUGUUCUGGCCAUAAACCUGUGACUCAUUUAAAAUCCA